rnacentral:misc_RNA from 1 species
GUAGGUGAACCUGCGGAAGGAUCAUUAUCACGUUAUCCACGUAUAAACCAUUGCGAACUGUGCCCUACCUUUGCAGUAAAUGAGACAGUUUUUGUAUUUUGAACGUUUAGCAGCUUUUGUGAAGUGAUUUAAGCUGUGUUCUUAAUGCCAUGUUAGAGUGAUUUCGGUCUCUCUUUCAUACUCGUUUACUGUGGAGUGUAUUUUAAUCACUUUAUUAACUUUAUUAACCAUUAUAACCCAAUCAUUAUAACUUCAUGAACUAACUUUAUUUUAUACUCUUCGGAGAUAAAAUUCAUAACGAAACAAAGAACAACUCUUAGCAACGGAUAUCUUGGUUCUC